rfam:marine gamma proteobacterium HTCC2207 scf_1099215844477 genomic scaffold, whole genome shotgun sequence.
GUAGUCAGUGUGUGGAGGUGGAUUAGAGCCACCUUGGUACGACAAGUAGCUUUAGCUGCUUGAACGUCACGACAGUGACGGCCCGGAGGGUGAGGCUCGCAGAGCCGAAUAAUCCACCUCCCGCCACCA